GCCUAGUUAGCUUAGUUGGUAGUGCGUCCGCCUUGUAAGCGCUAGGCCGCGGGUUCGAUUCCCGCCCGGGGCG
rfam:Asian citrus Psyllid, Diaphorina citri - Florida Strain, whole genome shotgun sequence.